UAAUACAGAGGGUGCAAGCGUUAAUCGGAGUUACUGGGCGUAAAGGGCGCGUAGGCGGUUAUAUAAGUGAGAUGUGAAAACCCUGGGCUUAACCUAGGAAUGGCAUCUUAUACUGUAUAGCUGGAGUACUGUAGAGGGUAGUGGAAUUUCCGGUGUAGCGGUGAAAUGCGUAGAGAUCGGAAGGAACACCCGUGGCGAAGGCGGCUACCUGGACAGAUACUGACGCUGAGGCGCGAGAGCGUGGGGAGCAAACAGGAUUAGAUACCCUGGUAGUCCACGCUGUAAACGAUGAAAACUAGAUGUUGGUCAGCUUGACUGAUUAGUAUCGAAGCUAACGCGAUAAGUUUUCCGCCUGGGGAGUACGGCCGCAAGGCUA
rnacentral:rRNA from 1 species